AUGGCCGAAUGCUUCAAUAGGGUGCUCAAAGGUGCACGUGGAUUACCCGUGACGGCAAUAGUUCAAUACACAUUUGACAAGAUGAAUGCGUACUUUGUAAAGUACUCGAUGGAAACCGAUGCACAGAUAGCGGGUGAGAACCCACGGAAGUACAAGUACAAGUUCCCACCCAAAGUUGAUGAAUGGUUGGUAUUUCAAUCACGGAAGGCGGACUCAGAAGAAGCUAUAUUAUAUGACAAUGAAGAGUGGAAGUACGAAGUGAAAGAGCCAGGAGGAACCACAAACGAUUGCCGGCAACAUGGAGGUCAGGCUUUCAAGGUGUCGUUAACACAAUGUGAUUGCACUUGCGGGAGGCCAUUGUUGCUUCAUCUCCCAUGCUCACACUUGUAUACUGCCGGUCGCGUUAGGAAUGUGGACAUCAAUCACCCACGCACCGUGAGGGAGUCGGAGUUCUCAAUCAUGACGGUCAAGAAAACAUGGGCUCCCCGCUUUCACCCAUACUUUGACCAAUCACAAUGGCCGGAGUAUCAUGGAGUUCAACUAUGGCCGGAUCCG
rnacentral:rRNA from 1 species